AGCCCGAGUAAACGGCGGCCGUAACUAUAACGGUCCUAAGGUAGCGAAAUUCCUUGUCGGUUAAAUACCGACCUGCAUGAAUGGCGUAACGAGAUGGGAGCUGUCUCAACCAGAGAUUCAGUGAAAUUGUAGUGGAGGUGAAAAUUCCUCCUACCCGCGGCAAGACGGAAAGACCCCGUG
rnacentral:rRNA from 1 species